CCAAGGAGUCUAGCAUGUGCGCGAGUCAUUGGGUUCCACUAAGCCUAAAGGCGGAAUGAAAGUGAAGGCAGCCUCGGGUUUGCCCAGGUAGGAUCCCGGUCGUCACGGCCUGGCGCACUACCGGCCCGUCGCGUCCGCUCUGCGGUGCGGCGGAGCAAGAGCGUACACGCUGGGACCCGAAAGAUGGUGAACUAUGCCUGAGUAGGACGAAGCCAGAGGAAACUCUGGUGGAAGUCCGUAGCGGUUCUGACGUGCAAAUCGAUCGUCGAACUUGGGUAUAGGGGCGAAAGACUAAUCGAACCAUCUA
rnacentral:rRNA from 1 species